ensembl:lincRNA
CAACACUGUAUGUUUUAAGUACUGUAAAAGAAGAUACAAUAUUUUCCAUAGAUGUGUUAGUAAAUAUGAUUGACCGUGUUUUCUUUGUUUCCACAGCAGUGAGAACAGUGUGAUUCAUGCUGACACGGUUUACAGAUUUACAGAAGGAGACAUCAAGACGCGCAGUGGUUUGCUCAAUGCAAUCUUCAUUACCAGCGGCCUUCCAGACACAACAACUGCACCUCCUACGACACUCCCACCAACUUCAGCUCCCGCUGCACCAAAGAGGUCAGUGAUGGCUGGACUAAGACUGGAGUUCAACACCACAAACCAAACUCUCAGUGCAACUGCGAUAGUCAAACAAUUCACUGCCUUCCUGGCUCCUUAUACAUCUCUGGGAGUCUACACAAUCAACAUCACCAAUAUCACUUACUACAACACAACAGCGAGCUUCUUUGCUGUCAAUAUCAACUUCGUCUUCAGCAACCUGACCGUUCCAGGAGGAGCUAAUUUAACCAAUGAGACUUACAGCACAAUCCAGAACAGCAUGAAUGAGCUGCUUCUUAUAAUUCUUGGAACGCCAAACUACAAGCAAUUCACCUUCCCCCGUGUCAAUGUCAUCAGUAUGAGCAGUGUAAUUCAUGCCAAUACGGUGUACAGAUUUACAGAAGGCGACAUUGAAAUGCGCAGUAGUCUGCUGAAUGACAUUUUCAUCACCAGUGCUCAGCCAUCUCCAACUACACUGGCUCCCCUUAUAAGAAAUGGGAGGGCACUUCUGUUCAUCAGACUGGAGUUCAACACCACAAAGCCAGCUCCUUCUGAGGCGCAGGUGUUGCAAAUAGCUAAUCAAUUCAUUGUCAAUGCCUUUAAGUCACGGGAAACAUACCAAGUGACAUUUGGAAAUGUGUCCUAUGAGAGGAUGAGUGCAAAUUCAUUUGCCAUCAUUCUGGGAUUCAGUAUUGCAAACCUGCCUGUUACAGAUACCUUUCAAUUUAGAAACGAAACGUACACUGAAGUUGAAAGCGCUGUGAACUCCUUGUUGAGCAACAUCCUCGGGCAACCAAAUUCCACCCUGUUCAAGUUCCCUUCCAUCGAUUUCAGAAAUGUGAGCAGUGUGAUUCGUGCCAGUGUGGUGUAUCAAUUCAAAGAUGGAGACAUCUCAGGGCCCAGUGGUUUCCUGAAUAGUAUCCUCAUUCUCAGUGGUGACCUAACUACAACAGUAGCUCCCAGUCCCACUGUCCUCCUGACCUCAUUAACAGCCACCACAGCCAGUAAAGGGGGUUUCCCAGGCUGGGCCCUGGCUAUCAUCAUCCCCUGUGGGAUUGCAAUUAUCCUGGUUCCCCUUUGGAUCCUUUUGUGUUGUCUGCUGUGUGGCUGCUGUGCUGCUUGCAGAAGGAGAUGGCACAGAAGACGAUCAUACCAUGUGCAAUACACAACAAGAAAUGGGCUUUUCUGAGGGGUGUUCCAAAUGUGUCGCACAAAUCUGCCACAGUUACAGUACAACCAUUUUCAUCUCCAGGAAACACUGGUCAGCCUUUUCUUCCUCACUCUUCAAGCAUAACAGCUGAGAACGAAAGUCAAUCCACUGCAGGACGGAAGCACCACAUUGCCUCUUUAAAGCCAUGAAAAACUGCUUCUAGUGCUGACAAUAAGAAUGGCAGCUCCCGUAAUCGAAAAUACCAAUCUGGAAGAUGAAUUUUUGGCAAAAUUAAAAACAUGUUUUUUUGCUGCCAGACACGUAUUGGUAUAUGUUUUUCUCUGUGGACUACAGCCACUAACCACAACCAAAAACUCAGCAAGAAAAUGCUUUCAGUUUUGUUCAUCUUUCUUAAUAUUCUAAACAUAAAGCCUACACAUGACUGUUGUUCCUUCUAGGCACAAUGUUUCUCUUCUGAAAUCCAAGAUGCUUUAUUAUUACCCUUUUUCUCUGCUGAGCAGUCAGGAAAACAUCUGAGUGAAAUUGAAGGAAAUGGAGUUGAUCUCUGAACAAAAUGACCAGUGAGCUGUACUCCCUUGGAUGCUCUCAGGAAGCAGACUGAAGAUCUGAGCUGACUGUUACUCAAUUCUUCCACUUGAACUGUGCCACUUCUAAUGAGACAGGAAGUCUUUUGCAAUUUCUUAUCUAUCUUACUGCACAGCUGGUCAGUGCAGGUUAUUUAUUAUAAGCAGUAAAAGAUAUCAAAGACUUAUUAAGUUACAUACCUGUAUAUGCUUUACUUAUUGCUAGCAGUAUUGUAUUUAUUUUAUAAAGCUCUGCUGAUCACUAUCAUGAAACUGUUUGACACAGAGUAGACCAUGUGAAAGAGCAAUAUUCUCCUAAGGGAAAGAGGGUUAUAAAUUCUAAAUCAAAUUUAUUUUUAUACUAUUUAUUAAAUCAAUGUAUUUAAUGAAUGUAUAGACAAUCUUAUACUACUUAUUAUUUAUUGUUUGGUUGAUUAUUUUCUUGUUAGAUGGAUGCAGUGUACUUCAGAGUGAGGAUCUGUAUUUGCCUGAGUAUGAGUGAUAUGAAAAUAUUUAGAUCAUUAAAUGCAUGCAAAAUAUUAUUUUAUGAAUCAAAUAAAAAUCUAUAAAAUCUACAC